rnacentral:tRNA from 1 species
GCGCCUGUAGCUCAGGGGAUAGAGCACUAGCCUCCGGAGCUAGGUGUCGGGGGUUCAAAUCCCUCCAGGCGCGCCA